rnacentral:rRNA from 1 species
GAAACGACUGCUAAGACUGGAUAGGAGACAAGAAGGCAUCUUCUUGUUUUUAAAAGACCUAGCAAUAGGUAUGCUUAGGGAGGAGCUUGCGUCACAUUAGUUAGUUGGUGGGGUAAAGGCCCACCAAGACUAUGAUGUGUAGCCGGGCUGAGAGGUUGAACGGCCACAUUGGGACUGAGACACGGCCCAAACUCCUACGGGAGGCAGCAGUAGGGAAUUUUCGGCAAUGGAGGAAACUCUGACCGAGCAACGCCGCGUGAACGAUGAAGUAUUUCGGUACGUAAAGUUCUUUUAUUAGGGAAGAAUAAAUGAUGGAAAAAUCAUUCUGACGGUACCUAAUGAAUAAGCCCCGGCUAACUAUGUGCCAGCAGCCGCGGUAAUACAUAGGGGGCAAGCGUUAUCCGGAAUUAUUGGGCGUAAAGGGUGCGUAGGCGGUUAAAUAAGUUUAUGGUCUAAGUGCAAUGCUCAACAUUGUGAUGCUAUAAAAACUGUUUAGCUAGAGUAAGAUAGAGGCAAGUGGAAUUCCAUGUGUAGUGGUAAAAUGCGUAAAUAUAUGGAGGAACACCAGUAGCGAAGGCGGCUUGCUGGGUCUUUACUGACGCUGAGGCACGAAAGCGUGGGGAGCAAACAGGAUUAGAUACCCUGGUAGUCCACGCCGUAAACGAUGAGUACUAAACGUUGGGUAAAACCAGUGUUGAAGUUAACACAUUAAGUACUCCGCCUGAGUAGUACGUACGCAAGUAUGAAACUUAAAGGAAUUGACGGGACUCCGCACAAGCGGUGGAUCAUGUUGUUUAAUUCGAAGGUACCCGAAAAACCUCACCAGGUCUUGACAUGCCUCUGCAAAGCUGUAGAAACACAGUGGAGGUUAUCAGUUGCACAGGUGGUGCAUGGUUGUCGUCAGCUCGUGUCGUGAGAUGUUGGGUUAAGUCCCGCAACGAGCGCAACCCUUAUUGUUAGUUACCAGCACGUAAUGGUGGGGACUUCAGCAAGACUGCCAGUGAUAAAUUGGAGGAAGGUGGGGACGACGUCAAAUCAUCAUGCCCCUUAUGACCUGGGCUACAAACGUGAUACAAUGGCUGUUACAAAGGGUAGCUGAAGCGCAAGUUUUUGGCGAAUCUCAAAAAAACAGUCUCAGUUCGGAUUGAAGUCUGCAACUCGACUUCAUGAAGUUGGAAUCGCUAGUAAUCGCGAAUCAGCAUGUCGCGGUGAAUACGUUCACGGGGUUUGUACACACCGCCCGUCA